UGGACUGGGCAUAGGGCAUGGCGGGCAUAUGCCCGGUGGCCUGAAGCCUUUUAUUUAUUUUUUUAUUCAUGCCAAACUCGCGUCUAACGUAGCAGGCCACGUUAACUUCAAUGCAGGCCACAUUAACGUCAAUUCAAGUUAAUGCAAGUUAAACUGGCAGAUCUGCCCUUUAUCAUGAUUGAUUGAAGCCUGGGCCAAUGAGGUGAGAGGCAGGCCAAUUUCGCCUACCCCUCCAUCUCAGCCUCCGUUGGUGACUUGGUUGGUUAGCCACUGCUAGCAGGCAGAUCGAAAACGGGCAAUAUGGACCCUAGUCGGAAGAAAAGAAAGGGUGGCGCUGAAAGAGCCAGGGACCAGAAAAAAGCAGCCCUUCAGGCAGAUGCUACGAAAUGCCUAAACAUAGCUGAUAUGUUUGCUGCUCGUGGACAUGGAGCCUCCACAUCUGCAGCAGCAGCAUCAACAGGUAGUGGAGGAGAAGAUGCUCGACAGCAGGUGGACGAGGCGGCCAUGACGGUUCCCAUGCUUAAGGAGUGCUGGGUGUUGCUGCUGAGAAGAGGCAGAUGGGGUAGCAUCAGCAUCUCGCCCACUUGUUGGAUUGUGUGUGUGUGUGUGUGUGUGUGUUCUGGUCCAUUUGAAAGCUCUCAUUGGUCUGCAUGUAAGUUACCCAUUCCUUUUCGUUUUAAUGUUUGUUUUAUUGAUAUUCAUAUUCUUAAUAUACAGUAUAAUUGUGUAUUUAUUUACUUUAUUUUUUCUAUUUAUUUUGUACAGUUAGGUUAAGCAAUUUAUUUUAUUUUGUACAGUUAAGUAAUUAUUGACUCAUUGUAAAUAUAAGUGUUUAACUUCAAUUGUUAUGUGUGUCAUCACUUUUUAUUUUAUAUUCAAAAUUAAAUGGAUGAAAAUCC